GACGAACGCUGGCGGCGUGCUUAACACAUGCAAGUCGAACGGUAAGGCCCUUCGGGGUACACGAGUGGCGAACGGGUGAGUAACACGUGGGUGAUCUGCCCUGCACUUUGGGAUAAGCCUGUGCCACUGGGUCUAAUACCGGAUAGGACCACUGCCUGCAUGGGUGGUGGUGGAACGCUUUUGCGGUGUGGGCUGGGCCCGCGGCCUAUCAGCUUGUUGGUGGGUUGAUGGCCUACCAAGGCGACGACGGGUAGCCGGCCUGGGAGGGUCACCGGCCACACUGGGACUGAGAUACGGACCAGACUCCUACGGGAGGCAGCAGUGGGGAAUAUUGCACAAUGGGCGCAAGUCUGAUGCAGCGACGCCGCGUGAGGGAUGACGGCCUUCGGGUUGUAAACCUCUUGCAGCCCCGACGAAGCGCAAGUGACGGUAGGUGCAGAAGAAGGACCGGCCAACUACGUGCCAGCCGCCGCAGUAA
rnacentral:rRNA from 1 species